rnacentral:rRNA from 1 species
AUUGAACGCUGGCGGCAUGCCUUACACAUGCAAGUCGAACGGUAACGGGCCUUCGGGUGCCGACGAGAGGCGAACGGGUGAGUAAUACAUCGGAACGUGCCCGAUCGUGGGGGAUAACGAGGCGAAAGCUUUGCUAAUACCGCAUACGAUCUACGGAUGAAAGCAGGGGACCGCAAGGCCUUGCGCGGACGGAGCGGCCGAUGGCAGAUUAGGUAGUUGGUGGGAUAAAAGCUUACCAAGCCGACGAUCUGUAGCUGCACUGAGAGGAUGAUCAGCCACACUGGGACUGAAACACGGCCCAGACUCCUACGGGAGGCAACGGUGGGGAAUUUUGGACAAUGGGCGCAAGCCUGAUCCAGCCAUGCCGCGUGCAGGAUGAAGGCCUUCGGGUUGUAAACUGCUUUUGUACGGAACGAAAAGCCUUCUUCUAAUACAGGAGGGUCAUGACGGUACCGUAAGAAUAAGCACCGGCUAACUACGUGCCAGCAGCCGCCGUAA